GCUGGGUUUAGAACGUCGUGAGACAGUUCGGUCCCUAUCUGCCGUGGGCGUUGGAAGAUUGAAGGGGGCUGCUCCUAGUACGAGAGGACCGGAGUGGACGAACCUCUGGUGUUCGGGUUGUGUCGCCAGACGCAUUGCCCGGUAGCUAAGUUCGGAAUCGAUAACCGCUGAAAGCAUCUAAGCGGGAAGCGAGCCCUGAGAUGAGUCUUCCCUGAUACUUUAAGUAUCCUAAAGGGUUGUCGGAGACUACGACGUUGAUAGGUCAGGUGUGUAAGUGCUGUGAGGCAUUGAGCUAACUGAUACUAAUUGCCCGUGAGGCUUAACCAUACAACACCCAAGGGGUUU
rnacentral:rRNA from 1 species